rnacentral:snRNA from 1 species
AUCGCUUCUCGGCCUUGGCUAAGAUCAAGUGUAGUAUCUGUUCUUAUCAGUUUAAUAUCUGAUACGUCCUCUAUCUGGAGGACAAUAUAUUAAAUGGAUUUUUUUGACUCUAGGAGGGAAUAGAGCUGCUCCGUCCACCCACGCAUCGACCCAGCAUGCACUCUGAACGGUAUUUCCUCC